UACGUAGGGGGCGAGCGUUAUCCGGAUUUAUUGGGCGUAAAGGGUGUGCAGGCGGUUUGCCAAGUUCGUGGCGACAGCCAUCGGCUUAACCGAUGGAGGACUGCGAAAACUGGCAGACUUGAGAGCGAGAGAGGGAUAUGGAACUCCGGGUGGAGCGGUGACAUGCGUAGAGAUCCGGAAGAACACCAACGGCGAAGGCAGUGUCCUGGCUCGUCUCUGACGCUCAAGCACGAAAGCUAGGGGAGCGAACAGG
rnacentral:rRNA from 1 species